CGUGUAGGCGGUCGGGUAAGUCAGAUGUGAAAGCCUUUCGCUCAACGGAAGAAGUGCAUUUGAAACUGCUCGGCUGGAGUACGGGAGAGGAGAGUGGAAUUCCCGGUGUAGAGGUGAAAUUCGUAGAUAUCGGGAGGAACACCAGUGGCGAAGGCGGCUCUCUGGUCCGAUACUGACGCUGAGACGCGAAAGCGUGGGGAGCAAACAGGAUUAGAUACCCUGGUAGUCCACGCCGUAAACGAUGGGCACUAGGUGUAGGAGGUAUUGACCCCUUCUGUGCCGAAGUUAACGCAUUAAGUGCCCCGCCUGGGGAGUACGGCCGCAAGGCUAAA
rnacentral:rRNA from 1 species